rnacentral:rRNA from 1 species
AGUGAACGCUGGCGGUAGGCCUAACACAUGCAAGUCGAACGGCAGCACAGUAAGAGCUUGCUCUUACGGGUGGCGAGUGGCGGACGGGUGAGGAAUACAUCGGAAUCUACUUUUUCGUGGGGGAUAACGUAGGGAAACUUACGCUAAUACCGCAUACGACCUACGGGUGAAAGCAUGGGAUCUUCGGACCUUGCGCGAUUGAAUGAGCCGAUGUCGGAUUAGCUAGUUGGCGGGGUAAAGGCCCACCAAGUCGACGAUCCGUAGCUGGUCUGAGAGGAUGGUCAGCCACACUGGAGCUGGGACGCGGUCCAGACGCCUACGGGAGGCAGCAGUGGGGAAUAUGGGACAAUGGGGGCAAGCCUGACCCAGCCAUACCGCGUGUGUGAAGAAGGCCUUCGGGUUGUAAAGCCCUUUUGUUGGGAAAGAAAAGCAGCAGGUUAAUACCCCGCUGUUCUGACGGUACCCAAAGAAUAAGCACCGGCUAACUUCGUG